CCCGGAGCUGGCUGAUGGGCGGGGUGGGAUGCCGUCUCGGGGGUGAAAGGCGCAGGAUGAGAGCCAGACGCCCACACACGGAUGAGACCUGUGGAAACCGAGCGGGAGCUGGAGAGGUGAAGCCCGGACGCCUGGGGAGAGGGCGCCAUGGACAUGGUGGUGGGGUGCUGCUCUGGGCCCGGGGAAAGGGAAGGGUCCGGGACACGCUCAGUCCUGCAGCUGUGAGCCGUCUCCUGCUGGCUCUCAAACCUGAUUCUGCCCCUGGAAGCGGUGCCCAGAUCUGGCAACGCUACCCACACCCCUGAAAUGUCAUAGAGCAGGCACCUGAGAAGAGCUGCUCCAGCCGCUGGCUCACAUCUCCGCCGUGGGAAAGUGUGGCUCAUGGGGAGGGGGCCAGAGGGCCUCUGGACCCUGCCUCUGGGUCCCCAGUUUUUUCAUGCCACAGAACUGCCCUUCUAUGCUCCUUCCUGCAAAUGGGGAGGGGCAGGGCCUGAGGUGGGUGGUCCCAGCCCAGGCGAGAACACUAACCCUUGUUGUCAGCAUCCACCAUGGCUCCCAGGGCCCCAGCAUUCUUAAUGGGUGAGGUCGGGUGGGGGCGGGGGCACAGUGGGACCCGAGACAGAGCAGACAGGAGGCUGUUCUUGUGUAGAGGCAGGAGGGUCGUGGACAGAGCUGGCCUCUUCUGUUCAAGGCUUAAUCUGGCGGUGGGAGGGGAGUGGGUGCAUGCGUGCACGUGUGUGCUCAGGCGUGCAGGGGGCAGCGAGGCCGAGAGACCUCAUGCGGUCAGUGGGUCCCUCUAGAUUCCACACCAGUUCCGUCUGGGAAUUCCCAAGAGCAGCAAAGUCCAAAUGUCUUCAUACACGCUCGCCGCCACCCCGGCCCUUUCACUAAAGAACAAGCUAAUUGUGUCUCCUGCAAGGGCCCAGCUGGAAGGGCCUGGGAGGUCAGCUAGUCCAUCAAAGGAGCCAACUGGAGCUCAGAGGGGUGACGAGGCCAAGUCACACAGGACACUGGGGCUGAGUCAGGACCAGAACCACACGGGUCUCAAGACCCUACACUCAGAGGCAGCCUCAGGAGGCAGCUGCUGCCCCGGACGGACGGAAGAAUCCUGCCUGGGGACCUGGUGAAGCCUGAUUGAGCCCAGCCCAGGCCCGGGGUGAGGGGAGGAGCCAAGCCAAGUUCUGUUCCUCUCUGCCCGCUCCCCACCAUACGGUGGUGGCCACUCAUAUCCAUAAUGGCUUACGGCUGUGGGCUGGGAUCUUUCUUUUCAAAGCCCACAGAACAUUCUGCUCUGGCCCAGCUCUGCCUGCAGGGCCGGUGUUCUGUUGUGUUGCUAAGUGUGCCAGUUACUAUGGGGUGCUGUGUGACCUUCGUCAAGAAACGUAACGUCUCUGUGCCUCUCUAAACUCAUCUGUGAACGAGGGUGGGGGGUGGAUCACGUAGGGUCAUAAUAGGGAUGAAAUGAGCCCCUCGGUGUCUGGAAUCCAGCAAUGGGGGAUAAAUGUUAGUUUAAUAAUGACAUGCACUAAAUGUUCUUUUGCUGGCAGAAGAGAGAGGCCCAAAGCUCCCUGUCUUCAUUUCACAUAGAGGCAGAGUGAGGCGACAAGGAAUGAAGGGUUUGCUUCCUCCGGAGAACAGCUCUCCCCAGAAUGCUGGCUCACUAUCUCCCUCUGCUGUCCAUCCCGUGUUCUGCAUCCGACAAGGGCCAGGGGACCGCCACCCAUCUGGCCACCUGGUGAGCCUGGCCCCUGGGAUGGCGUACGGUGUGUUGAAGUCACCGUGUUCAACAGCCAGAGUUCAAACCAGAAGCCCGGAGCCAGCCCUUACCCCUCUGCCAACUGGUCACCAAGUCCCUAGACUCCUGCCUCUUACGUCUCUGUGCGCCUCUUCCCGCCCCGCUGCCCGAGGUCUGGGCCUGCUGUCCACCACCUCCCACCUGGACCUCUGUGGCAGCUUCCUCGUGGCCACCCUGCCUCCGUGCUGAUCACGUUCCAACCCAUCCCCCACGCUCCCCCAGAAAUCUUCCCAGAGCAACACUGGAUCAUGUCCUCCCACUGCCUGUCCCCUCAGGGCUCCUUCGCAGCACCCACCCCUCUGCCGGCUCUGCACCUGGCAGGUGCCAUUCCUCGGCCCGCAGCGCUCUUCCCCAGGCUCCUCUUCGUCCUCACUGACUCUGGGAAGGCUUUCCCCAUGGUCUUCCCUCCGAGCGUGGGUCAGGG